rnacentral:rRNA from 1 species
GCCGAACCUUGCGCACGUUGUUCGGAAUCACUGGGCUUAAAGGGCGCGUAGGCGGGCGUCCAAGUCAGGGGUGAAAUCUUUCGGCCUAACCGGAAAAGUGCCCCUGAUACUGGACACCUCGAGGGAGGUAGGGGCGUGUGGAACUUCCGGUGGAGCGGUGAAAUGCGUAGAUAUCGGAAGGAACGCCGGUGGCGAAAGCGACGCGCUGGACCUCUUCUGACGCUGAGGCGCGAAAGCCAGGGGAGCAAACGGG